rnacentral:rRNA from 1 species
ACGGGUGAGUAACACGUAGGUAACCUGCCUGCAAGACUGGGAUAACAUUCGGAAACGAAUGCUAAUACCGGAUACGCGAAUCUCUCGCAUGGGAGAAUCGGGAAAGACGGAGCAAUCUGUCACUUGCAGAUGGACCUGCGGCGCAUUAGCUAGUUGGUGAGGUAAUGGCUCACCAAGGCGACGAUGCGUAGCCGACCUGAGAGGGUGAUCGGCCACACUGGGACUGAGACACGGCCCAGACUCCUACGGGAGGCAGCAGUAGGGAAUCUUCCGCAAUGGACGAAAGUCUGACGGAGCAACGCCGCGUGAGUGAUGAAGGUUUUCGGAUCGUAAAGCUCUGUUGCCAGGGAAGAACGCUAUGGAGAGUAACUGCUCCAUAGGUGACGGUACCUGAGAAGAAAGCCCCGGCUAACUACGUGCCAGCAGCCGCGGUAAUACGUAGGGGGCAAGCGUUGUCCGGAAUUAUUGGGCGUAAAGCGCGCGCAGGCGGCUAAUUAAGUCUGGUGUUUAAUCCCGGAGCUCAACUCCGGAUCGCACGGGAAACUGGUUGGCUUGAGUACAGAAGAGGAAAGUGGAAUUCCACGUG